rfam:Ornithorhynchus anatinus chromosome 10, whole genome shotgun sequence.
UGCUGUGUUUGGCAAUGGUAGAACUCACACUGGUGAGGUAAUGGGAUCCGGUGGUUCUAGACUUGCCAACUAUGGCC